rnacentral:rRNA from 1 species
AAUGAACGCUGGCGGCAGGCCUAACACAUGCAAGUCGAGCGAAUGAAGGGAGCUUGCUCCUGGAUGCAGUGGCGGACGGGUGGGUAAUGCCCAGGAAUCUGCCUGAUAGUGGGGAAUAACGUCGGGAAACGGGAGCUAAUCUCGCAUACGUCAAUAUGGAGAAAGGGGGGGUUCUUAGGUCCUAACGCUUUCUGAUGUGCCUAGGUCGUAUUAGCUAGUUGGUGGGGUAAAGGCUUACCAAGGCGACGUACCAUAACUGGUCUGAGAGGGUGAUCAGUCACACUGGAACUGAGAAACGGUCCAGACUCCUACGGGAGGCAGCAGUGGGGAAUAUUGCGCAAUGGGCGAAAGCCUGAUCCAGCAAAGCCGCGUGAGUGAUGAAGGUCUUCGGAUUGUAAAGCACUGUAAGUUGGGAGGAAGGGAAGUAAGUUCAUCUGUUAAUAUUUUGACGGUACCAACAGAAAAAGCACCGGCUAACUUCGUG